UGUGCGACUUAUUAAAUCCCUCAAGUAUGAUAGGAGACUCAAACUGGACCAGAGGAAAACCAAGACUCUUUUUAAUGGCUGCUAGAUCCUCAGCUGCUCAAUGUAUAUCUGUCUUGAUGGCAAGACUGAUGAACUACCCCUAUAAAGAGAGAAGAGGAAGACAGAGGCAGGAGAAAAUUAUCAUAAUAGAAGCAAUAAAUGGAGAGAGAGGGGGGUAUCAGAAGUGAUUUGAUAGUAUCGGCAUCUUUGUCAUUAUUUCUAAUGCCAUAGCCUGACCACUGGAUCAAUCGGAAUAACAGCUUCUCCUCAAGUAGAACAGUAAACUGUUUGAUCUUCACAUCAAAUGUCUAUCAUGAUAUAAAAUAAACUUGCAGAGCUAUAGGAAACUGUGCAUGCAUGUACAGUUUCAAA